GAGCCAGCCGGUUCCGGCCUGAAACCUCUACAAACUGCCCUUGUGGAAGACAAGCCCCUAGAGCCCGGGCAUCUGAUUGGACAGCUCUGCAGGAAGCCUAGAAGAGCAUGGGAAGCAAGGAGCAGAAGGACGAGGGGUCACUCAGCCACCAGACAGGGAGAAGGCGCCUGCUAGGGCCUCCAGAGGGGACUCGGCUGCAGACUACUAAAGUUUGAGGUCCACUUCUUUCAGGACUUUUAAGAAGAAAUCAUCUGCUAUGUGUUGCUCUAAAGAUAUCCUGCAAUUCAAACUUCUCACUAAUUCAAAGAGACUUUCUUUCUAUUGAAAUUGAGACACUAUUUUGCCCAUACUGAUCUGAAUUCCUAGGCUCAAGUGUUCCUCCUGCCUCAGCCUCUGGAGUAGAUGGGACAAAGCCACACAGCACUAUUCCUGGCUUGAGACAAUUUGAAAAGAAAAGAAGUAUAACAGAUACGUUAAGAGAGAA